rfam:Loxodonta africana unplaced genomic scaffold scaffold_4, whole genome shotgun sequence.
CCCUGGGUGGUGCAAAUGGUUAAUACAUUUGACUGCUAACCAAAAGGUUGGAGGUUCGAGUCCACCCAGAGGCA